AACGAACGCUGGCGGCAUGCCUAACACAUGCAAGUCGAACGAUGCCUUCGGGCAUAGUGGCGCACGGGUGCGUAACGCGUGGGAAUCUGCCUUUCGGUUCGGAAUAACUCAGGGAAACUUGAGCUAAUACCGGAUAACGUCGCAAGGCCAAAGAUUUAUCACCGAAAGAUGAGCCCGCGUAGGAUUAGCUAGUUGGUGAGGUAAAGGCUCACCAAGGCGACGAUCCUUAGCUGGUCUGAGAGGAUGAUCAGCCACACUGGGACUGAGACACGGCCCAGACUCCUACGGGAGGCAGCAGUGGGGAAUAUUAGACAAUGGGCGAAAGCCUGAUCCAGCAAUGCCGCGUGAGUGAUGAAGGCCUUAGGGUUGUAAAGCUCUUUUACCCGGGAAGAUAAUGACGGUACCGGGAGAAUAAGCCCCGGCUAACUCCGUG
rnacentral:rRNA from 1 species